rnacentral:rRNA from 1 species
AUUGAACGCUGGCGGCAUGCCUUACACAUGCAAGUCGAACAGUAACAGGUCUUCGGAUGCUGACGAGUGGCGAACGGGUGAGUAAUACAUCGGAACGUGCCCGAGAGUGGGGGAUAACGAAGCGAAAGCUUUGCUAAUACCGCAUACGAUCUCAGGAUGAAAGCAGGGGACCGCAAGGCCUUGCGCUCACGGAGCGGCCGAUGGCAGAUUAGGUAGUUGGUGGGAUAAAAGCUUACCAAGCCGACGAUCUGUAGCUGGUCUGAGAGGACGACCAGCCACACUGGGACUGAGACGCGGCCCAGACUCCUACGGGAGGCAGCAGUGGGGAAUUUUGGACAAUGGGCGCAAGCCUGAUCCAGCCAUGCCGCGUGCAGGAUGAAGGCCUUCGGGUUGUAAACUGCUUUUGUACGGAACGAAAAGACUCUGGUUAAUACCUGGGGUCCAUGACGGUACCGUAAGAAUAAGCACCGGCUAACUACGUGCCAGCCGCCGCGGUAACAC